rnacentral:rRNA from 1 species
CCUACGGGAGGCAGCAGUGGGGGAUAUUGGACAAUGGGGGGAACCCUGAUCCAGCGACGCCGCGUGAGUGAAGAAGUAUUUCGGUGUGUAAAGCUCUGUCAGCAGGGAAGAAAGCAAUGACGGUACCUGACCAAGAAGCCCCGGCUAACUACGUGCCAGCAGCCGCGGUAAUACGUAGGGGGCAAGCGUUAUCCGGAAUUACUGGGUGUAAGGGGAGCGUAGACGGCUGUGCAAGUCUGGAGUGAAAGGCGGGGGCCCAACCCCCGGACUGCUCUGGAAACUGUAUGGCUGGAGUGCAGGAGAGGUAAGCGGAAUUCCUAGUGUAGCGGUGAAAUGCGUAGAUAUUAGGAGGAACACCAGUGGCGAAGGCGGCUUACUGGACUGUAACUGACGUUGAGGCUCGAAAGCGUGGGGAGCAAACAGGAUUAGAUACCCUUGUAGUC